GCGGCGUAGCUCAACUAGCCAGAGCACUCGCUUGAUAAGCGAGCGACGGCGGUGCGACUCCGCCCGCCGCUA
rnacentral:tRNA from 1 species